AGUGAACCUGCACAUGUGAUGACAUCAUCAGACCCCUCCCAUAACAUCUGAGCCAUGACAUCAUCAGACCCCGCCCACACCGUGUGUGUUUACCUGUGAAGUUCUCCAGACAGACGCAGCGCUGGAAGUCGACGCAGGUUCCUCCGUUUUGACAAAUCAAACGUUCGGAGUCACACAGGUUCUCUGAGGAGACAGGAAGUGUUUUUGAUUGUUUUCUACUUUAAAAGUCACUGUGUGACAUCACAGGUCACCUGAACACAGGUAAACACUACGUGUGUUUAUGUUGAUGUGACGCUGCUGAUUUAGCGUGAUGCAUGCUAUUUUUAACACAAUAGUCUGAAUUUCACUUACAUGCACAACAUGUUCUAACCCUAACCCUUUAACUGCGUUUUUUGCUCCAUGUAUAUCCAUAAAUGUAAGGUGUCAAAAGCCAAACCCUCUUCUUGUACCUGAUAAUGUCACAGGUACAUUUUCUACCUCUUAGUUCGUAAUAAAAAAUGGAUGUAUUAUAUGUACUUAUAGGUAUAAUUGUGUGAAUACUUUUUGUAGGAGCCAUAAACAGGUCCUCACAUGUGUCUCUGAGGUUUCUACAUUCUUUACCUGUUAAAAGGGUUUUUAGUAGUUUGUCCUGACUCUUGUUGAGGGUUAAGGACAGAGGAUGUGUCACCCUGUUAAAGCCCUAUGAGACGAAUAGUGAUUUGUCUCAUAGGGCUUUACAAAUAAAAUUUGAAUGAUUGACUGAUAAACAAGAAGAAUAUUAUUAUUAUUUGGUUGGUUAUGAUAUAAUAUGUAAUGGGUUUGUGUUUUGGGAGUAUUAUUUGGAUUAUUUAUUGUUUACUUCUGAUCCUAUUAAUUUGGCAGGAGUAGGGUGGGGGUCAAAGCUGAUUUAAGCACCUGUUUCUGUUGACCCCUUAACUUCGACACAGGACCUGUUCUUUUUCGGUUUGAUAAAUUUCGUCUAUGAGUUUGUGCAUGGUCCAAAAAGUUGAUCUUCUUUUCUUUAAUAAAAGUUUAAACACAUUUUUUAAAUCGCUGUUCAUCGUUCUUUUCUCAAAUACCCAAAGAUUUAAAAAACAUCUGUUUCAUCUGCAACGGAAAAUCGAAAACUGUGCGAUCGUUCGUCUCUGAAGCUAAGAGAAGUAAAAAGUGUCUGACUUGACGUCUGUGUUUUUGAACUCCACCCCUGCAGCCGCUGGUCGAUCACAUCAGCAACCAAGUCCAUCUUGACCAGAACUGACUGUUUGGUGUGUUACUGAAGCUCCACCCCUUCACUGUGUGUACCUUUGCAGAUGGCUCCGCCUCCUCUCCAUGUGUAUCCAGCGAAGCUCGGGGGAGGAGUCAGACACUUUGAGGAAGAGACACAUUUCUUGUGGGAGGGGCCAUAGUUUGUUGGAGGCAGUCUUACCCUGGAAGGUGACAUAGGCGAUUUUGGACAGUUGACUGAACUGUGAUCCUCCUGGAAUCAGAAUCUUCUGGGUCGCUUUGGACACAAAGAAAAGUGUGUAGCCAUGGCAACGAGGUACAAAGCCUAACUCUACGGUGACGGAAGCCACAUCGGAACCAGCUACACACAACAAAGAUUUCUCCAGAACCAUGCUGGUUGGACGACCGUACUCAAAGGUGAUGGUGAUGUCAUCAACCACCUCCAGACUCUUGUUCCAGGACAAAGUGAUGUUGGCCAAUAGUGGCUCAGGAUACCUGGACCAUGUGACUGUCUG